UACGAAGGGGGCGAGCGUUGUUCGGAAUCACUGGGCUUACAGGGUGCGUAGGCGGCUUGUUAAGUAGGGUGUGAAAGCCCCCGGCUCAACCGGGGAAUUGCGCCCUAAACUGGCGAGCUGGAGUGAGAUAGGGGUGUGUGGAACUUCCGGUGGAGCGGUGAAAUGUGUUGAUAUCGGAAGGAACGCCGGUGGCGAAAGCGACACACUGGAUCUUGUCUGACGCUGAGGCACGAAAGCCAGGGGAGCGAACGGG
rnacentral:rRNA from 1 species